GCCUGGGUGGCUCAGUCGGUGAAGCAUCUGACUUUGGCUCAGGUCACGAUCUCACGGUUUGUGGGUUCGAGCCCCACGUUGGGCU
rnacentral:tRNA from 1 species